CCCUUAGAUGUUCUGGGCCGCACGCGCGCUACACUGACGGGAGCAACGAGUAGGACCUGCACCGGAAGGUGUGGGUAAUCUUUUGAAAUCCCGUCGUGCUGGGGAUAGAUCUUUGUAAUUUUCGAUCUUGAACGAGGAAUUCCUAGUAAACGCAAGUCAUCAGCUUGCAUUGAUUACGUCCCUGCCCUUUGUACACACCGCCCGUCGCACCUACCGAUUGAAUGGUCCGGUGAAAUCUCGGGACGGCGGCUUGGUCGCUUGCGUCCGACUGCUGAAACUUGAUUAAACCAUAUCAUUUAGAGGAAGGUGAAGUCGUAACA
rnacentral:rRNA from 1 species